CUCGCUUUCGGUGACUUUGCCCAUUCCAUUAGUGUGAAUAAUAGCGUGCUUUUUCUGCAAACUUUGGGUAACUUUGGCGCCGGGUAAAAUUGUUUAUGUUACUUUUAUMUAAGUUUCUGCGUUAAAGUGUACACUGCAUCCAUACGGCGAACUCAUUUUACUUAUCUCUGAUAGGUCACCGAGAAAGAACACAGACCCUAUGAGCCCUGCUAAAGUUGAAGGUGCUGGUGCAAGUCAGUUUGGAUUUGACCAUUCCUGGAAACCAAACCGCGACAGUCCAACUCCAACUAGUAAUGCAGACAAAGCGAAGAAGUCKUUGAAUUUUGCUGGUGAUGAUUUAAAUGACGUGAUAAUGAUAACUGAAUCUAAUAGACCUUUUAAUGCUGAUACACAACUGCAAUACUCUUCGCCGUCUUCACAAAGUUUAGCACAGUCACGAAAUGCCGAUGUACCGGUAUCAAUGUCAUAACACUGGUGUUAUUAUAUGCAAAAUUAUUUAUACAAAUUGAAAUGAUAUACAAUGGACUGCUGCUCACAUCAACUGUUUUGUGCAAGACUUCUCUUGUGAAUGACAGAAGAGAAUUUUUUUACAAUCAUGAUAUUCUUUCAUAUGUGUCCCAACCUAUCAAAAGUCAGUGCCCAGUGGUUUGGGCACCCUUUCAAGCAGCAAGGAGUUUAUUCAUUGUAUUGCCAGAAUUUUAGAAUGUUACACAUCCUCACAGUACAGUACACUUGAAG